GCUUGAGAGAACUCGGGUGAAGGAACUAGGCAAAAUGGCACCGUAACUUCGGGAGAAGGUGCGCCCUUUGGUGUGGUCACGUGCGUGACUGAGCAUUGAAGGGUCGCAGUAACCUGGCCGCUGCGACUGUUUAUCAAAAACACAGCACUCUGCAAACACGAAAGUGGACGUAUAGGGUGUGACGCCUGCCCGGUGCUGGAAGGUUAAUUGAUGGGGUCAGCCGCAAGGCGAAGCUCUUGAUCGAAGCCCCAGUAAACGGCGGCCGUAACUAUAACGGUCCUAAGGUAGCGAAAUUCCUUGUCGGGUAAGUUCCGACCUGCACGAAUGGCGUAACGACAGCGGCGCUGUCUCCACCCGAGACUCAGUGAAAUUGAAAUCGCUGUGAAGAUGCAGCGUUCCCGCGGCAAGACGGAAAGACCCCGUGAACCUUUACUAUAGCUUUACACUGAACGUUGAGUUCUUCUGUGUAGGAUAGGUGGGAGGCUAUGAAACCAGGACGCUAGUUCUGGUGGAGCCAUCCUUGAAAUACCACCCUGAAGUGCUUGACGUUCUAACCUAGGCCCGUAAUCCGGGUCAGGGACCGUGUAUGGUGGGUAGUUUGACUGGGGCGGUCUCCUCCCAAAGAGUAACGGAGGAGCACGAAGGUACGCUCAGCGCGGUCGGACAUCGCGCACUGUGUGCAAAGGCAUAAGCGUGCUUGACUGCGAGAUCGACGGAUCAAGCAGGUACGAAAGUAGGUCUUAGUGAUCCGGUGGUUCUGUAUGGAAGGGCCAUCGCUCAACGGAUAAAAGGUACUCCGGGAUAACAAGCUGAUACCGCCCAAGAGUUCAUAUCGACGACGGUGUUUGGCACCUCGAUGUCGGCUCAUCACAUCCUGGGGCUGUAGCCGGUCCCAAGGGUAUGGCUGUUCGCCAUUUAAAGUGGUACGCGAGCUGGGUUCAGAACGUCGUGAGACAGUUCGGUCCCUAUCUGUCGUGGGCGUUGGAGAUUUGAGGGGGGCUGCUCCUAGUACGAGAGGACCGGAGUGGACGUUCCGCUGGUGUUCGGGUUGUCAUGCCCAUGGCAUUGCCCGGUAGCUACGAACGGAAGUGAUAACCGCUGAAAGCAUCUAAGCGGGAAGCACGCCCCAAGAUGAGAUCUCCCGAGAGCUUGACUCUCCUAAAGGCACCAUCAAGACUAGGUGGUUGAUAGGUCAGGUGUGGAAGCGCAGCAAUGCGUUGAGCUAACUGAUACUAAUGAGCCGUGAGGCUUGAUC
rnacentral:rRNA from 1 species